rnacentral:tRNA from 1 species
GCGGUGGUGGCGGAAUUGGUAUACGCGCUAGCUUCAGGUGCUAGUGUCCGCAAGGACGUGAGAGUUCAAGUCUCUCCCUCCGCACCA